rnacentral:tRNA from 1 species
GCCGGCGUGGCGAAAUCGGUAAACGCGGAGAUCCGACAAGUCUAUGGACGCAAGUCCUUCUGGGUUCGAGUCCCAGCGCCGGCA